CUGCUAUUCUGAUAUGAGACAGAAGAGGAUCAAGGCCUGAGGCAGGAAGACCAUGCAGGAGGCUACUCCGUGAUCCAGCAAGACCCACAUUUAUGAAUACCAAGGAAGCCUCAGCUAGAGCCCAGUUUCAAGAAACAUGACAGCACUCUUGGGAGCCAAAAUGUGCUACUGAAAUUCCUAAAAGAAUCACCACUGUGAUGGAGCCUAUGAUCCGGAUGUCAUUGGUUGGAUCCACCAUCAUUGAAUCACUCU